rnacentral:rRNA from 1 species
UACGUAGGGUGCGAGCGUUGUCCGGAAUUAUUGGGCGUAAAGCGCUCGUAGGCGGGACAGGAAGUUCGUGUUGAAAGCCCCCGGCUCAACCGGGGAAGGUGGCGCCGAACUGGGCUUCUUGAGGGCGAUAGAGGAAGGUGGAAUUCCGGGUGUAGCGGUGAAAUGCGUAGAGAUCCGGAGGAACACCAGUGGCGAAGGCGGCCUUCUGGGUCGACCCUGACGCUGAGAGGCGAAAGCGUGGGGAGCGAACGGG